GGAGGUUCUGUCGUUGAUCUGAUGUCUGGAUAUAGUUUCUCAGGAAUGAAUUGAGCCGGAGAGAGAGAGAUUUAAUGGGCCUGCUCUCCAUUGAGAAGUCCAAGCUCUUCCUUGAUCCUGUGACGCACCUGAAUAAUGAUGACGCGACGGCUGUCUGUGCAGACUAACCCCCCAGGCCGUCCAUCCAUUAUUAUACCCGGCCGACUCCAAGCAGAUGGGUUCACCCUUAUGUGCUUAAGGUUUCUUCCUGAUUAACAGGGAGUUUUUCCUUGCUCCUGUUGCCAUUGCGCUCUAAGGGGGUUCAGGCCCUGGGCUCUUUUAAGCACCUUGAGACAAUUUUAUUGUUUUGGCACUAUAUAAAUAAGUUGAAUUUGGUUGAAUUAAAUAUAUAUACAAUUAUUUUGCGGAGGACAUUGUAUCAGACAGAUUAUCUGGACACCACUGGCAUCUCAAACAUCAUAAAAUACAUACAUAAGGCUAUAGAACAAGUCGUACAACAUAUAUCAGAACAUGUCAGUAGCUCAUAGUUUAGUGCCGUGUAUAAUACACUUUAAUAACAGUGCCUAUGUUUUUACAUUCCUAGAAUACUAAGGCCUCAGCAAUGUUUUGUUUCCUCCAGAAAAGUAGAUCAGUGGAUCUGGGUCAUUAACAUUAAAGUACCUUGGCUAAAUCCUCCUACUUUGCUAAUGCUCAGCUGAGGCAGUGAGCAGCCUGGACCUGUAAAGUUAGGAGAUGGAGGAGUUGGAUCACUUAAAUCUCUCGAUGUGCACAUGGAAGUGUAGAUGUGGCUCUUGUUUGCUUUUGUGUACUGAGUUGACACUUGACACUAGCGAUAAAAUCAAUUGGGAGAAUGUAAUAAUGCCAUUCUUUAAAAUAAAGCUUUUUUUCUGCUGGAGCAAGC
ensembl:lncRNA